CCUAGUUGAAGAGGCUUUUGAAGGAGAAAAGACAGAGAAGAUUCCAGAAUUCCAGCGUGGGCACUAACACACUGAGUGCAACAAAUGGAAUGAAUGUGGGAACUUCUCAGAAUUGAUUCAAGUGUUCAGUUUCUUUCUGUUCAGCUAAAUAAUUUUACACAGGGGACCAAAGAAACAACCUGUUAGCAAGCAAAUAGUCCUUCUGGCUCUAAAUUCAGUGUGCUGAGUCAUGCUGCCUCUCACAUUUUGGAUAAGAAAAUGAGAAGAAAUAAUAAUAACCACUGUAAUGGUGGCAGCUAACAUUUAAUAAGUUCUUAUUGAGCUGUUGUGAGCAUUUCACUCACGUGAACUCAAUUAAUCUUCACAAUAUCUCCAAUGAGUCACCAUGAAGCAAGCAGCUUUGCUCUGGUAAACCCUUUUGCCAUGAUAUUGUGCCUCACCAUACGCCCAGAAACAAUGGAGUCAGCUGACCAUGAACUGAAGCCUUUGAAAUCAUAAGCCAAAAUAAACCUUUCCUCCUUGCUCCUGGUCCUCAGACAUUCAGAUCCAAACUGGUAUUUAUGCCAUUGACUCUUGGAUUUCAGACUUUUGAACUAUACUUCCAACUUUCUUCGGCCUCCAACUUGUAAGCAGCAAAUUGUGGAAUUUCUGCAAUCACG